rnacentral:rRNA from 1 species
GUAGUUAGCCGUGGCUUCCUCCUUAGGUACCGUCAUUAUCGUCCCUAAAGACAGAGCUUUACAAUCCGAAGACCUUCAUCACUCACGCGGCGUUGCUGCAUCAGGGUUUCCCCCAUUGUGCAAUAUUCCCCACUGCUGCCUCCCGUAGGAGUCUGGACCGUGUCUCAGUUCCAGUGUGGCCGAUCAGCCUCUCAGCUCGGCUACCCAUCGUUGGCUUGGUGAGCCGUUACCUCACCAACUACCUAAUGGGACGCGAACCCCUCUUAAAGCGGAUUGCUCCUUUGACCUCAUCCCGAUGUCGGGUCGUGGUCUUAUGCGGUAUUAGCACUUGUUUCCAGGUGUUAUCCCCCUCUUUAAGGCAGGUUCCUCACGUGUUACUCACCCGUUCGCCACUAAGAUAAAAUACUUCCAUCCGAAAACUUCCGUAUAAUAUCUCCGUUCGACUUGCAUGUGUUAAGCGCGCCGCCAGCGUUCGUCCUGAGCCAUANAUAACAACUCACACGNGAGGCGGCGUGACGACGCGCUAG